rnacentral:rRNA from 1 species
UACGGGGGGGGUAAGCGUUGUUCGGAAUUACUGGGCGUAAAGGGCUCGUAGGCGGCCAACUAAGUCGGACGUGAAAUCCCUCAGCUUAACUGGGGAACUGCGUCCGAUACUGGAUGGCUUGGAUUUGGGAGAGGGAUGUGGAAUGCCCGGUGGAGCGGUGAAAUGCGUAGAGAUCGGGCGGAACACCAGCGGCGAAGGCGGCAUCCUGGCCCUAUCCUGACGCUGAGGCGCGAGAGCGUGGGGAGCAAACCGG